rnacentral:rRNA from 1 species
GAUGAACGCUGGCGGCGUGCUUAACACAUGCAAGUCGAACGGAAAGGCCCUGCUUUUGUGGUGUGCUCGAGUGGCGAACGGGUGAGUAACACGUGAGUAACCUGCCCUUGUCUUUGGGAUAACUUCAGGAAAAUGGGGCUCAUACCGGAUAGGAGCUCCUGCUGCAUGGUGGGGGUUGGAAAGUUUCGGCGGUUGGGGAUGGAAUCGCGGCUUAUCAGCUUGUUGGGGGGGUAGUGGCUUACCAAGGCUUUGACGGGUAGCCCGCCUGAGAGGGUGACCGGCCACAUGGGGACUGAGAGACGGCCCAGACUCCUACGGUAGGCAGCAGGGGGGAAUAUUGCGCAAUGAGCCGGAGCCUGAUGCAGCAGCGCCGCGUGCGGGAUGACGGCCUUCGGGUUGUAAACCGCUUUCGCCUGUGACGAAGCGUGAGUGACGGUAAUGGGUAAAGAAGCACCGGCUAACUACGUG